rnacentral:lncRNA from 1 species
UAAAAAUUAUUUUUAGAGUUGGGUCUCCCUAUGUUGCCCAGGCUAACCUCAAACUCCUGGGCUCAAGCAGUCCUCACACCUUGGCUUCCCCAAGUGCUGGGAUUACAGGUGUGAGCCACUGUGCCUGGCCUCCUGCUCCCCGCUUAACCCCUGGCAACUACUAAUCUGUUCUCCAUUUCUAUAAUUUUUUUUUCAAGAGUGUUAUAUAUAUAAUGGAAUCAAGCAGUAUGUAACCUUUUGGGAUUGACUUUCUUCACUCGGCAUAAUUCUCAGGAGAUUCAUCCAGUUUGUUGCAUGGUUCAACAGUUCAUUCUUUUUUAUUGCUAUAUAGUAUUCCAUGGUACAGAUGUACUACAGUUUGUUUAACCAUUCAGCCAUUGAUGGACAUUUGAGUUGUUUCCAGUUUUUGGCCAUUACGAAUAGAUUUACUAUAAACACUCAUGUAUUCUUUUUUAUGAACAUAAAUUUUUAUUUCUCUGGAAUAAAUUCCCAAGAGCCCAUAUGGUAGUUCCAUGUUUAGUUUUUUUAAGAAACUGCUGACUGGGCAUGGUGGCUGACACCUAUUAUCCCAGCACUUUGGGAUGCCAAAGUGGGCAGAUCACUUGAGCCCAGGAGUUCAAGACCAGCCUAGGCAACAUAGCAAAAUCCCAUCUCAUACAAAAAAUUAGCUGCACAUGGUGGUGCCUGCCUGUUGUUCCUUGCUACUUGGGAGGCUGGGGUGGGAGGAUCACUUGAGCCUGGGAGGCAGAGGUUGCAGUGAGCGGUGAUUGCGCUACUGCACUCCAGCCUGGGCGACAAAGACCCUGUCUCAAAACACAUACAAAAUUUUCCAAACCAUUUCUAAAGUGGCUGUAUCAUUUUACAUUUCCACCAUCAAUGUGUGAGUGACUUAGUUUCUCCACAUCCUCACCAACAUUUGGUAUUGUCACUUUUAAAAAUGUUAGCAUUCUGAUAGGUGUGUAGCCAUAUCUCAUUAUGGUUUUAUUUUGCAUUUCCCUAUUGACAAUGACACUGAAUCUCUUUCAUGUGCUUAUUUGCCAUCUGUAUUUCCACUUUUGUGAAAUGUUCUCUUCAUGUCUUUUGCCCAUUUUCUAAUUAGAUUGUUUGUGUUUUUAUUGUUGCAUUUUUAGAGUUCUUUAAUAUUCUAUUUACUAGUCUUUUGUUGGAUAAAUGGUUUGCAAAUAUUUUCUCCUCUCUAGCUCAUCUAGUUGCCAAAUUUAUGCAUGUAGAGAUUUUUUGGAGGAUAUUAAUUUCUUGGGGCUGCUGCAACAAAUUAACACAACUUAAUAACUUGAACAACAGAAAUUUAUUCUCUCACAGUUAUCACAGGGACACGCCACCAUACCUGGCUAAUUUUUGUAUUUGGGUUUGUUUGUUUGUUGUUGUUUUUUUGUGUGUGUGUUUUUGUACAGCUGGAGUUUCGCCAUGUUGCCCAGGCUGCUCUCGAACUCCUGGGAUCAAGCGAUCUGUCCACCUUGGCCCCCCAAAAUACUAGGAUUACAGGCAUGAGUUACCAUACCUGGGCCUCUACUGUCCUAAUAUGUGCAUUUAAUGCUAUACAUUUUCUUCAUCUGUGUCCCACAGAUUUUGUUACAUUAUAUUUUCAUUUCACUCGCUUCAGUGUAUUUUACAAUUUCCCUUGGCCAGGUGCAGUGACUCACACCUGUAAUAUCAGCACUUUGGGAGGCAGAGGCGGGUGAAUCACAUGAGUGCAGGAGUUGGAGACCAACCUGGGCAACACAGGGAGACCCCAUCUCUACAAAAAAAUCCAAAAAUUAGCCAAGCGUGGUAGUGUGAUCUUGUAGUCCUAGCUACUCGGGAGGUUGAGGCUGCAGUGAGCUGUGAUAGCGCCACUGCAUUCCAGCCUAGGCAACAGAGCGAGAGCCCAUCUCUAAAAAUGAAUAAAUAUAUAAAUGUAUAUUUUUAUAUGUAUUAUAUAAUAGUAUAAUAUAUUAUAAUAGUAUAAUAUUAUACUAUUAUAUAAUAGUAGUAGUAUAUAUUAUGUAUUAUACUAUUAUAUAAUAUAUAAUACAUGCAAUACAUAUACAUAUAUGUGUAUUUUUAUACAUGUAUUAUAUAUACACAUACAAUAUAUAGAUGUAUAUAUAAUAUUGUAUAUAUAAAAUAUUUUAUAUAUACACAUAUAUAAUUUCUCUUGAGACUUCCCUUUUUCGUCCAUGGAGUACUUAGAAGUGUGUUGUUUAGUUUCCAAGCAUUUGGAAAUUUUUCUGUUAUCUUUUUGUUAUUGAUUUCUAGUUUGAUUCCAUUGUGGUCAGAGAACACACUUGGUAUUAAUUCAGUUGUUUUACAUCUGUUUGUUUUAUGGCCCAGGAUAUGGUCUAUUUUGAAAUGUGUUACCUGAGUAGUCGAAAAGAAUGAACAUUUUGCUGUUGUUGGGUGAAGUGUUCUAUAAAUAUUCAUUAGAUCUUGUUGGUUGAUGAUUUUGUUGAACUCUUCUAUAUCCUUGUUGAUUUUCUGUCUAGCUGUCGUAUCAAUUGUUAAGAAAGGAGGAUUGAAGUCUUCAGCCCCAGUUGCCGAUUUUUCUAUCUCUCCUUUCAGUUCUAUCAGUUUUGGCUUCAUAUGGACUGCAGUUCUGUUGUUUGGUGCAUACACAUUUAGGAUGAUUUGUUUUCUCACUAGAUUGG